AUUGAACGCUCGCGGCAGGCCUACAACAUGCAAGUCGAGCGAGCGGCGGACGGGUGAGUAAUGUAUGGGGACUGCCCGAUAGAGGGGGAUAACUACUGGAAACGGUGGCUAAUACCGCAUACUAUCGGAUAACCCAUAUGGGAUUAGCUAGUAGGUGGGGUAAAGGCUCACCUAGGCGACGAUCUCUAGCUGGUCUGAGAGGAUGAGCAGCAACACUGGGACUGAGACAAGGCCCAGACGCCGACGGAGGCAGCAGUGGGGAAUAUGUCACAAUGGUAGCAAGCCGGAUGCAGCCAUGCCGCGUGUAUGAAGAAGGCCUUAGGAUUGUAAAGUACUUUCAUCGGGGAGGCGUUACCCGAAGAAGAAGCACCGGCUAACUCCGUGCCAGCAGCCGCGGUAAUAC
rnacentral:rRNA from 1 species